CUACGUCGGCGACCGGCGCACGGGUGCGUAACGCGUAUGCAACCUACCCAUUACAGGGGGAUAACACUGAGAAAUCGGUACUAAUACCCCAUAACAUCCAGGGAGGCAUCUUCUUGGGUUGAAAACUCCGGUGGUAAUGGAUGGGCAUGCGUUGUAUUAGUUAGUUGGUGGGGUAACGGCUCACCAAGACAACGAUACAUAGGGGGACUGAGAGGUUAACCCCCCACAUUGGUACUGAGACACGGACCAAACUCCUACGGGAGGCAGCAG
rnacentral:rRNA from 1 species